rnacentral:rRNA from 1 species
CUCGUAGUCCGGAUUUCUGGCUCGGAAAAGGCGGUCCGUUCGGCUCAGUUCGGAUGUGAACCAGCUCUUUCCGGCCAUCCUCGUGGAGAACUGUUCCUCAAUUCAUUUUGUUGGUGCAUGUAAUCCACGUCAUUUACUGUGAACAAAUUAGAGUGUUCAAAGCAGGCUUACGCCACUGAAUACAUUAGCAUGGAAUAAUACUAUAGGACUUUGGUGAUUCUAUUGUUGGUUACGCACCAAGGUAAUGAUUAAUAGGGAUAGUUGGGGGUAUUCGUAUUCAAUUGUCAGAGGUGAAAUUCUUGGAUUUAUGGAAGACGAACAACUGCGAAAGCAUUUACCAAGGAUGUUUUCAUUGAUCAAGAACGAAAGUUAGGGGAUCGAAGAUGAUCAGAUACCAUCGUAGUCUUAACCAUAAACGAUGCCGACUGGGGAUCGGUGGGCGUUCUUUUUAUGACUCCAUCGGCACCCUAUGAGAAAUCAAAGUCUUUGGGUUCCGGGGGGAGUAUGGUCGCAAGGCUGAAACUUAAAGGAAUUGACGGAAGAGCACCACCAGGGGUGGAGCCUGCGGCUUAAUUUGACUCAACACGGGGAA